rnacentral:lncRNA from 1 species
GUGAUAGUGGCUAUUGGUGAGAGAGAGAGUGUGAGAAAGCGGGAGUGAGAGAGCUGAGGGAGAGGGAGUGAGAGAGUGUGCGGUAUGGAGGUGUAGCAAAGUAGAGAGCAGAGAGGCACUGGUGGCGGUGAUGGUGGUGGGGAUGGUGACAGUGGCUAUUGGCGAGAGAGGGAUUGAGAGAGCAGGGGGAGGGAGUGAGAGAGCCGAGGGAGAGGGAGUGAGAGAGCAAUGAGGGAGCACGAGAGAGAAAAAUGGAGGAGGAAA